UGAGGAAUAUUGGUCAAUGGGCGAGAGCCUGAACCAGCCACGUCGCGUGAAGGAAGACUGACCUUACGGUUUGUAAACUUCUUUUGUAGAGGGGUAAUGGCAGAUACGUGUAUUUGCGUGAAAGUACUCUACGAAUAAGCAUCGGCUAACUCCGUGCCAGCAGCCGCGGUAAUACGGGGGAUGCGAGCGUUAUCCGGAAUUAUUGGGUUUAAAGGGUGCGCAGGUGGCUAAUCAGGUCAGUGGUGAAAAGCUAUGGCUCAACCAUGGUCUUGCCAUUGAAACCGUAUAGCUAGAGAGGAGACGAGGUAGGCGGAAUGUGUGGUGUAGCGGUGAAAUGCAUAGAUAUCACACAGAACUCCGAUUGCGAAGGCGGCUUACCAGGCUUUAUCUGACACUUAGGCACGACAGCGUGGGGAUCAAACAGG
rnacentral:rRNA from 1 species